CUCAGUGAUGGUGGUGGUGAGGUCGGUUGUGCCUCACACCACUUCACUUGACCCUUUCCUUAGUGAUGCCUCUUACCUUCUUUGAGUUUGCAUGUUCAUUACUUGAACUAAUAGUGAGUGAACGUCUCUUUUCUUCAAAGAGGAAAACUCUUGAGUAGAUUUUUGCCUCAAAAUACUCUCUUUUUCAGGGAAUACAAAUACCCA
rnacentral:lncRNA from 1 species